rnacentral:lncRNA from 1 species
UCGUAGAUCGGGUGGAACAUUCACAUCACACGCUAUUGAUUGUGUGCGUGAAGAAGUGAGGAAUGCAUUUUCAAAUUUAGACAUUAAUAAAGAGCAUAUAUACAACUGCAUAUGUUGUUUAUAUGUUUUCAAACAUGGAAUGAGUGGUUUUACAUGGAAUCCAACAACUGAACGAUUCAAAGCAAAAGAUGAAGUUUGGGAGCAACUAAUAAAGAUAAAUCUCUUACUUUAUCAUA